UGACCAAUGAUGACAGUAUGUCAUAAAUCAAAGAUUAUGAUUAACCCACUUUUGCGUAUUUAAGGUUCAGA
rnacentral:snoRNA from 1 species